rnacentral:rRNA from 1 species
UACGUAGGGGGCAAGCGUUGUCCGGAUUUACUGGGCGUAAAGAGCGUGUAGGCGGCCAAGCAGGUCCGUUGUGAAAACUGGAGGCUUAACCUCCAGACGUCGACGGAAACCGCGUGGCUAGAGUCCGGAAGAGGAGAGUGGAAUUCCUGGUGUAGCGGUGAAAUGCGCAGAUAUCAGGAGGAACACCGGUGGCGAAGGCGGCAUCCUGGACCGGCAUUGACGCUGAGGAGCGAAAGCCAGGGGAGCAAACGGG